rnacentral:sRNA from 1 species
GGGGGGGGUAGUACAUAGGCAGUAAAGAACAAAUGUACUUAUUUAAACAAUGGCAGGUUCGCGGGGCGUCUUAUUGUUCACUCCGUGGUAGCGUACAAUGCCCCAACUUCCACAUUAAAUUGUGAGGCUUUUAAAUCACCCUGGAUCAGACAACAAUGGGCGCCCAAUCAUCCGGAACCGCUCUUGCACAACGGCAUACUCUAGAAUACACAUUUAAUUCUGCGUAUACGAAUAAUUCGGAUCGUUCGGAACCUUUAAUUCAAGAAAAGGGUGUGGACUUCGCAGAAUAUGGAAACGGGCGUCUGACGUUCAAAUGCGAUCUUUUUUCUGUGGGUACUAAUUGUCCUGGGACUCGGGCACGGAGUCCUGUCACACUUGCUCGGAACUCAUUGAAAAUACAUAGGAUAUUGUUCUCCUCUGUGAUAGGCUGAUCGAUCUGCUGGUGCUGUGAGCGCCGUCGAUUUUAAUCUACCUAAAGAUUUGGAAGACAUUAAAUGACGGUGGGACAUAAUCGAUUAAUUGCGUGAUGCUGUGAGUGACAGAAAGGGAUAGAGAGAAAGAAAGAAUAUAGAGGAGGACAUUUACUGAGAUUAAAUCAUGGCAUCUCAGAUGGUGCAAUUGGGAUUAUUUAUCUUCUGUGUGGGCUUUGCACUUGUUUCAGGUCAGUGCAACAUUCCGAAUUGUGACAGUUGUUCGUCCAGCGACUUGACGUGUUCCCGAUGUGUCAGUGGUUACUACCCAUACUUCGCCACGUGCACGGCUUGUAGCAAGGGAUGUGUUAAUGUAACAUCCGGGCCCACAUGUGAUGCAACUUCCGGGAUAUGUGCCAGAGGAUGCACGCCUGGAUGGGUCGGUGAAAAGUGUGAUAGAUGUGACAGCAACUAUUAUAAGGCGGGAGACACGUGCUACAAGUGUAGUGAUCACUGCGUGAGUUCAUGCGACGGGACGACCGGAAGCUGUUUUGGUGGAUGUCGGGAAGGGUACUGGGGAACUCGCUGCGAGAACACGUGCAGUCCGUUUUGCCAAGGGAACGCAUGUUUUCACACCAACGGCACGUGCAUAAAUGGAUGCAUCAAUGGAUUUUACGGUCUUCCGUGCGAGACGCCAUGUGGAGCUUGCCCCUGUGACAGAACGCAGGGCACCUGCGUUGGUUCAUGCACAGUUGGAUUUUACGGAGAACAGUGCGACAAACGAUGUCAAGCGAGCUGUUUCGAUAACAGGUGCGAACGAGUAAGUGGGCGUUGUACUUCCGACUGCCCCACUGGCUUCUACGGUGAUUUCUGUUCAAAGAACUGUAGUACGGGCUGCGACGGAGCGUGUAACCGAGAUACUGGGACCUGCUCCACCGGUUGUAAACGGGGCUUUUACGGCGACACCUGUGUAAAUCAAUGCAACCCAAACUGUCAAAAUGGAUACUGUGGCCGAUUGGACGGAAACUGUCAGGGGGAAUGUGUUGAUGGAUUUUACGGUGAUCAGUGCGGUAAGCAGUGUCCAAGCACCUGUUCCGGAAACUGCGACCAAAAGACGGGAUCCUGCUCGGGUGAGUGUCAGGCCGGACGGUAUGGGGAAUUCUGUGAAAAGUUCUGUACAGUAGGUUGCUCUUCAGGCACAUGUGAUAGAAACACUGGCUUAUGCCUAUCUUCCUGUGUAUCUGGACUGUACGGGGCAUUCUGUAACCAAUCAUGUGUAAACUGCGAUUCGGUCGGUUGUGAUAAGUUAUCGGGGGUAUGUCGCGGGCAGUGUGAUCCAGGUUAUUUCGGUAGCAUGUGUAACAAAGUCUGCUCUUCCUUUUGUCUUGAUUUAUCUUGUCAAAAGAGUAAUGGAGAUUGUCUUGGGGAAUGUAAGGUCGGAUACUAUGGGUCUAACUGUUCACAAAGGUGUAGUGAGAAUUGCAACAAUUCAAUCUGUUCUAAAACAUCUGGAGAUUGUUUGAGUUGUGCCAUGGGUCUGUAUUAUGGUCCGAAAUGUCAAACUCCAUGUGGAGUGUGCGAUCACGAAGGUUGCAAUUCUGAAACAGGAGCUUGUCUUGGAUCAUGUGAACCUGGUUAUUAUGGGGACAAAUGUAAAGGGUUGUGUAAUUCAAAUUGUGAAUAUGAAGCUUGCGACCGCACAACUGCAAAAUGUCUUGGGUGUGAAACAGGUUUUUAUGGUUAUAACUGCACAAUGGUUUGCAGUACAGAUUGCCCUAUACGACAAUGCGACCAAGAUACGGGAUAUUGUUCCCAAAAUUGCUCCAUUGGUCGAUGGGGUCAAACUUGCGAGAAUGAAUGUAGUACGAAUUGCUUUGAAAACAAAUGUGAUCGCAGCACUGGCGAUUGUUUUGCUUGCGAUGACGGUUUCUACGGUCCGAAGUGUCAGCAGUCCUGCAGUCCACAAUGCGCUUCUGGAACAUGUGAACGCAGCUUAGGGGGUUGUAUCGGUGGAUGCAAGGUCGGCUACUACGAUUUCAAAUGCAAUUCACCUUGUGUUAAAUAUUGCAUUGGUUCUUGCAACCAGACGACUGCCUUUUGCAACAAUCCAUGUCCGCCUGGAAGAUACGGGGACUACUGUUCACUGCUUUGUCAGGAAACAUGCGCGGGAACAAAUAACACCUGCGAGAGAUCAACGGGGGUCUGUUCAAUCGGAUGCGAUGUUGGAUAUUUUGGCAACAACUGUUUAAUGGCUUGUCCUAAUUGUGAUAGUAGUGGAUGUCACAGAUCAAAUGGGACGUGUGUUGCGUCAUGUAAAUUAGGUUAUUAUGGCCCCUCAUGUAAUCGUACAUGCAGUCCAACUUGCGAUGCUUCAGGAUGCGUGAAAGAUAGCGGGUUUUGUCGGGGUAGCUGUAGGGUUGGUUAUUUUGGAAGCUUUUGUAAUAACACAUGCAACACAAACUGCGACUCUGCUGGUUGCCACAGGACCUCUGGAGUGUGCCUUGGAUCCUGUAAGCCUGGUUACUACAAUCCGACCUGUUCCGGUGUUUGCAGCUCACAUUGCAAAAACGGAACAUGCGAGCGUUUUAAUGGAACAUGCUCUGAGUGCGAAGUUGGUUACUACGGAUCUUUUUGUAACUCAACUUGCAGUAAAUGUGACAGCCAGGGAUGUAACCAAGCCGAAGGGAAAUGUUUUGGUAACUGUGAAAUUGGGUUUUAUGGAGACAAAUGUGACAAGGUUUGUCCCAGCAAUUGCAUCACUGCAUCAUGCGAGAAGUCAAAUGGAUAUUGUUCAGCAUGUAAAGAUGGAUUUUUCGGUAUGAACUGCUCAUCUACUUGUAGUUCUUUUUGCAUCAGCAACAAAUGCAACCAGACUUCAGGAUACUGUACGUUUGAUUGUCCGAGUGGAUAUCGAGGUUUAUUUUGCAAUGAACGGUGUGAUUCAGCAUGCGCUGACAACACAUGCAACCGAUUCACGGGUGCCUGCGUUGGAAGUUGCGAGCCCGGAAAAUACGGGGAACUCUGUAACCAAAUGUGUAAUCCGAACUGUGGUGGAAGUACUUGUCUAAAGGACUCAGGGACGUGCAUUGGAGGUUGUAAAGUAGGCUUUUAUGGCCUGAUGUGUAAUAUUAACUGUAGCACUCAGUGUGCUUUCUCAUGUGAUCAAACGGCAGGUACCUGCGACGGGGCGUGUAAGGUGGGUCAUUAUGGAAGCUUUUGCGAAAGACCAUGCAACACUUUCUGCAAAGGAGAUGCGUGUGACAAAGUCACCGGAGCUUGCUCGGGUGGAUGUGAUCUGGGAUACUAUGGAACGUACUGUAAUCAAUCUUGCAGCAACUGUGAUGCACAGGGCUGCAAUGAUCGAACCGGAAAUUGUCUAGGACAAUGUGACUUGGGUUUCUAUGGCUCACAAUGCAACUCUUCGUGCGCAACUACCUGUCUCGGAGCUUGUCAGAAAACAACUGGACUUUGCUCAGGUUGUCCAACUGGCUAUUAUGGAGAUUAUUGUCAGCAGCAAUGUAUGACUUGCGACAGUAUGGGAUGUUCUAUUUCAGAUGGUACGUGUCUGGGGUUUUGCAAAAACAACAUGUACCACGAUCAGUACUGUAGGUCCAUAUGUGGACAGAAUUGCGAAAAUGGAACUUGUAACAAGGAAACGGAAUAUUGUGAUUCAUGUGUGCAAGGUUUUUAUGGUCCAAAGUGUACAUCACGAUGCAAUGGGAAUUGUCAGCAAAAUUCAUGUAGACGAAGUGAUGGGUAUUGUACAUACCCCUGCUCAGAACGAUAUUACGGUCCAACCUGCACAUCGAUAUGUAGCAUUUACUGUAGCAACGGUUGCAAUCGACAGACAGGCGUCUGCAAUGCUUGCAUAGCUGGUCGUCAUGGCGACUUUUGUAAUAAUACAUGCAGCAGUACUUGUGCAUCCGGUAUCUGUGAAAAACAGAAUGGAAAUUGUGUUGGUUCAUGUGUCCCAAAAUAUUAUGGCGAUAAAUGUACUUCUGAGUGUAGCACCUCCUGUGCAACUAGCUGUAACAGAACAACAGCAUAUUGUAUUGGCGACUGCAUACCUGGACACUAUGGUAACUUUUGCGAAAUGGACUGUAGCUUUGGAUGUAUUGGUCAAGUCUGCGCUAGAAGUAAUGGGGUCUGCGGAAGUGGCUGCAAAGCUGGAUACUGGGGUGUGUUCUGUAACAACACCUGUCAAUCUUGUGACGCUAAUGGAUGCUUUCAGAAUAACGGAACAUGUGUAUCCCAGUGCUUGCAUGGUUUCUACGGAGCAGACUGUACACAAAACUGUAGUUUAACAUGCAAGGACAGCAGAUGCGAUCGCUCAACAGGUGCCUGUACUGAAUGUAAGGAUGGCUAUUAUGGAGAACGAUGCAAUUUCAAUUGCAGCACUGGUUGUUUGAACAAUGCUUGCACGCAGUAUUCGGGGGUGUGUAAAUCUAGUUGCAAACCCGGGUUUUAUGGAACAAGCUGUAAUAGGGUGUGUGUGGGUUGUAGCGAGUGUAUUCAGAGUACUGGGGACUGUGCAAAUUGUACUCAAGGUUUUUAUGGAACAAACUGCCAAUACGCAUGCAGUUCUUUUUGCAAAUUGUCCUCUGCUGAACAAUUAAUAUGUGACAAAGACAGUGGAGCAUGUGCAUAUCAAUGCAGAGAUGGAUGGUGGGAUGCAAAGUGCGACCAACCCUGCAAUAAUGCAGUAGGUUGUCAAAGUACCGCUUGUGACAUCAAUACCGGGCACUGCUUGACAACAUGCAAGGAUGAAUACUUUGGAAAUCGGUGUGAACAACGUUGCAGCGCAACAUGUUCAGGUGGAAAAUGUGAAAAAAUUUCGGGUAAUUGUUCUAUUGGCUGCGAUAACGGUUACUACGGACCAGCGUGUUCUUUGACCUGUCCGCAAAACUGUUUAAUCUGCGAUUUUGAAACUGGAACUUGUAUUUCCUGCGUAAAAGGUAAAUACGGUAGCACUUGUCAAUUUAAUUGUAGCAGUACGUGCAGAGUUACUUCAGAUAGCCAACAAACCUGUGAGAAAUCAUCAGGUAACUGCUUAAAUGACUGUACCAAUGGAUACUUUGGUGAUAGGUGUAUACAGCCUUGUCCAGGUCGAUGUGUGAGUGGCAGUUGCAACAGAGCAAACGGACAAUGCGACGGUGAUUGUAUGAACGGAUAUUAUGGUCUCUUCUGUAACCAAAGUUGUGCAAGCUGUUCUGAGGUCAGUGGUCAAAAAAUGUGCCAUCGUUCCACAGGAGUUUGCACCGACGGGUGUAAACUCGGAUUCUUUAACGAUCGCUGUUCGAAGCUUUGUUCAUUUGAUUGCCAAUCAUUUGCUUGCUCGGGUACCGAGAGAAACUGCACUUUGGGAUGCAUACAGGGUUUAUUUGGAUCCGAUUGUACAUCGAAGUGCAACCCAAACUGCGUCAACGAUCUUUGCGAGAGGACCUCCGGGGAAUGUACGGUUGGAUGUCGAUCAGGAUUUUAUGGAACACUGUGUGAUCGAAGCUGUAAAACAGCAGGAUGUGCUAGCGGAAGCUGUGAUCGUCAAACAGGUGCUUGUCAGACAAGUUGUUUAGCAGGUUACUUUGGACCCUACUGCAACUCAACCUGUCCUCGAUGUGAUUACCUCAGUUGUGACAAGACAACAGGUGCCUGCAUUGGGGACUGCAAGGCGGGUUUUUACGGAUCAAACUGUGAACUAAAAUGUAGUCAAAACUGCAAUGGCUCAAGUUGCGACAGGUCCUCUGGCAGAUGUACCAACGGUUGUUCAGCUGGAUGGUAUGGGGAGCAAUGUAACCAGCAAUGUCCGAUUAAUUGCAAUCAAGGCUUUUGUAAUCGUGUCUCGGGUAACUGCAACUCUUGCAAUGAUGGCCAUUAUGGUAUAAAAUGCGAAUUGUUUUGCAGUACCAACUGCAUAAAUCCGUUCUGCAAUUUUACAGAUGGGACAUGCGUUGACUGUGCUUCUGGUUGGUGGGGAAAUGCUUGCAAUGUAAGAUGCCCUGAUAAUUGUGAAAAUCUGAUAUGUUCCCAAAACACUGGCAACUGCCUAACAUGUAAACCUGGUUUUUACGGCACUGAUUGUAGACUUACUUGUUCUGGGUGUGCACCAUUCAAUGGUGAGUCCAACUGUGCGCAAUUUGAUGGUACUUGCCUGAACAAAUGUAACCCAGGAUUUUAUGGAAGUAUGUGUACGGGAGUUUGCAACAAUAAGUGCAAAAAUAAUCUUUGCGUAAAUUCAGCCACAAAUUGUUCUGAAGGAUGUAAAAGUGGUUUCUAUGGACAAGAUUGUCAGUCCAUAUGUAGUGCCAACUGUAUGAACUCAGAAUGCAACAAAAUUUCCGGCGCUUGUCUUCAAGGUUGCAAACCUAGAUUUUUUGGUCAAACAUGUAACCGCGCUUGUAACACCUCAUGCUUGGAUAAUUUAUGCAAUUCCGUUGAUGGACAUUGUCUUGACUGUCCAGAUCAGUACUAUGGCCAAUUUUGUGAAUCGGAAUGCCAUGCUAAUUGCCUUGGAGGUGUCUGCGAUAAGAAUGGGCGAUGUGUCAGUUGUAAAUCAGGAUAUUAUGGAGAAAUGUGUACCAAAGCUUGUGGAAACUGUACCAACUGUGACCGUACGACUGGAUGCCAAGCGUGCCCAGUAGGAAAAUGGGGAAACGCCUGUCAGUAUAAUUGCAAUGCUAACUGCCAACUGAACCAGUGCAGCAAAGAUGAUGGGACAUGCAAUUGUAAAAUUGGUUUCUAUGGAACUUCCUGCAAUAAGCCUUGCAAUAACUCUGGUAACUGUAUAACACUUGCUUGCGAAAAGCUUACGGGGGAUUGCAGCGGAAAUUGUGUUGAUGGUUGGUAUGGUAGUAAAUGUGGUAUACAUUGCCCAGAUCAUUGCAAAAACAAAGCAUGCAAUCGUCAGAAUGCAUUGUGUAGCUUUGGCUGUUCACCUGGUUAUUAUGGAGAUCUAUGUACAUCGCAAUGCCCCGUUGGUUGUUAUGAUUGCACUUCUGAUACCUCCUGUUUGUCUUGUAAACCAAAUCGUUACGAAACAAAAUGUAUUAUGCAGUGCAGUGAUAACUGCAAGCUGCCCACCGAUGGGACAAGAGUGUGCGAUACAUCAACUGGAAAGUGUGUUCUUGGUUGUAGGGAUGGAUACUAUGGCGAAAAUUGCAAUAAGAAGUGUUCUUCAAAUUGUAAUAACAUUGCUUGCGAGAGAGACACGGGCAGGUGCAUUGGAAUAUGUAAAGCGACCUUCUAUGGCUUUUUCUGUAACGAAUCGUGCAAUGGGUGCGAAACUGUAGGGGGAAGUAGCUGCGAACAGCCAACUGGGCGAUGUCUGCAUGGUUGUGUUACAGGCUUUUAUGGAACCUAUUGCCGGGACCAGUGCAGUUCAAAUUGCCAAAACCAGAAAUGCGAAACAUCUAGUGACAACUGCUUAGAAGGGUGCAUCACUGGAAAGUAUGGUUUCGAUUGUAAACAAGAGUGCGACUCAAAAUGUUUCGGUGGCAAAUGCGCACGCUCGACUGGAUCCUGUGAACUAUGCCAUAGUGGAUUUGAGGGGCCAACAUGCAGCCAAAGCCUGGUGUCUUCUGAGAACGACAACCUCCCACUGAUUGUUGGGCUGUCGUCAGGCGGUGGAUUCCUGCUGAUCAUCAUCAUCGUAACAGUCUUAUGCAUGCAACAACUACGAUCAAGAAAACUUCUUGAAAGAGAGAUGGCGGUAAAACGCUUCCAAGAACAAAAUGGAUGGACAUUUGAUGACGAGAGAUUGACAGCAAACCAGUUUGACAAAAUGAGUGCUUUUAAUGGCAGUAUGCACGGCGGAAGCGUGCACGGAAGUAUUCACGGAAGCCAGUUCCACGGCAGUCAAUACCAUGUUUAUGACAACGAACUAGUCUCUGGUAUAGGUGAUGAUAUCGCCCUAACCGACUUCCCACAAUAUGUCUGUAAAAUGAGAGUCACAGAUGGCGCCUAUGAGAGAGCCCACAAGAAACUUCAAGUUGGUCUGAUAGCCCCGUGUCUGGAGGCACAGAAAGAAGAAAACGUGAAGAAAAACAGAUACAAAAACAUAUUUGCCUACGACCAUUCACGUGUUGUAUUGAAGACUGAAGAACCCUCUGAAUCAGGUUACAUCAAUGCCAACUAUAUAAACGGUUAUUCAAAGAAAAACAGAUACAUUGCAUCACAAGGGCCUACCGAGCACACAGUCGAAGACUUCUGGACUAUGAUUUGGCAAGAACACUGCUCCACAGUAACCAUGCUAACGAAUCUUGUUGAAUGCGGGGUAAAUAAAUGCUACCCCUACUGGCCGGACGAGAAUACGGAGAGCUCCCACGCUGGAAUAAUGAUACAGUGCACAAGUAAAGACGUCUUUGCAGAUUUUAUCAUUAGAAGUCUUACAAUAAGUAAGGAAGGGGAAGAGAGAAGCUUGACACACUGUCAAUACACCACGUGGCCAGAUAGGGGCGUUCCCCAAUACGUCACGCCCCUAGUUGAAUAUUUACAUAUGAUCAGAUCAAUGCAAAGGAACGAUUUUCCAAUGCUAGUACACUGCAGCGCUGGUUGCGGCAGAACUGGAUCUUUCAUAGCUGUCCAUUACCUGUGCGAAGAGGCGCUAAAAGAACGUAAAGUUAACGUUUUUGAAUGUGUCAAAAGAAUGAGGGAGCAACGGGUAAACAUGGUUCAAACCCCGGAGCAAUACCAUUUUGUUCAUGAAUGUAUCUUGGGGGUCUUAUUGUCUGCAAGGUGCAUUGUUAAAGCGAACCAGUUUAGGGAUUAUUACGUUAGUAUGAUGGAAAUUAAAAACGGUGCUUCCAUUAGAAAGUUGGAGCAACAGUUCAUGAACAUGAGGUCGAUGCUCCAACUGUCAGAUAAAGCUGAGAGUGCUCAUUUACCAGAAAACCUACCAAAGAACAGAACAAAUAUAGUAGCAAAUGACUCUUCUCGAGUGUUCCUUUGGUCAACCGUCCAGGGUUGCAACGAUUAUAUCAAUGCUAUAUAUAUUCCGAACUACAGACAACGAUAUGCCUAUAUUAUUACGGAGAUGCCACAAGUGCAUACCAUUAUAGAUUUCUGCAGACUUCUGCAACAAGAAGAAUGUCGCACAAUUGUAAUGUUAAAUAGUGGAUUCACCGAUACACAGGACGGUAAGUACUGGGCUGAUCCUGGAGAGAGCGUGGUUUGCGGGCCAUUCCGGCUGACGGUAAAGACUGUGAGUGAAGAUGAACACUGUAUUUGCCGGAACAUGGAGCUUCAUUACAGUAUCGGGAGUGAACAGGACAGUGUUAAUUUGGUAGAUGUUGAAGGGGUAAUGAAAAUUCGACAAUAUCAUCUAAAAUCCUGGCAGGAUACAGGACCAGUUCCGGAUUCCGAGUUUGCUAUACUCAAUGUAAUAAACAGAAUACAGUCAUGGCAACAUGAAGCUGGAAACCAUCCAAUUAUUGUACACUGCAGAAAUGGUGCAGAAAGAAGUGGCUUGUACUGCUUGUGUUCAAUAGCUAUAGAUAGGAUUAAUUCGGACGGAACGGUCGCUAUGCCCUUAAUGCUAAAUCAUCUGCGGUCGAGAAGAAAACAGUUGGUGGCGUAUUUUGCCCAGUACAAGUUUUGCCAUGACGUUGUAGAACGAUAUAUAUCACAGAUGAAGCAUCGGUCAUCUCUGACGUAAUAUUACGAAGAAAAUGGAUAUUUUAUUGAUAUCACUCAUAAAAAGGUGCUUGUUUCAAACACAUUUGCAUUGCAAUCAUUAUAUGAUACUUGUUUUGUUCAACAUGAAUAUUUUUAUCGUUUAUUAUAUAAAAUAUGUUUUUAUUUUAGAUGAAAACUUAAAUAGUUUUAUUAUUGAAUGAUAAAGCAGUUUCAUUUUAAUUUUAGUGAUUUGCUCUGAAAAUAUAGAUAAGUAUAUUUUUCUACAGCCAAUGUAUAGACGCUUUCCCGAUAACAUCGGUACUGUUGUCUUGAAAGGCAACUCGAUAUUCAUUGCCGAAGUUUUGUAUAUAGAUAAUCAAAUGACGUAAAUGAAAACUGACGUUACAUCAUAUUUCUCCAAACUAUGUCAUUUUGCCCUGCAAAAGGGCAGUAUUGCAGUUACUGUGAAGGGGUCUUUAUGUAGAAUUGUUUAUACGGUUCGUUUGAAGAAUGCUUUUCAUUUCAAGGAUUAAACCUGAAACUAUAGCUUGUUUUUCGUCAGAAUCAAACACAUUAGAGCUUGUUUAUGUUUUACUGAAUAAAACAUGCAUAUGAAAUAAACACCAUUUAUGUUUUUUUUU